rnacentral:rRNA from 1 species
GAAUCUGCCGGGACCAUCCGGUAAGGCUAAAUACUCCCGUGAGACCGAUAGUGAAUUAGUACCGUGAGGGAAAGGUGAAAAGCACUCCAAUGAGGAGAGUGAAAUAGUUCCUGAAACCAUACGCCUACAAGCGGUCGGAGCAUAUAUAUAUGUGACGGCGUGCCUUUUGCAUAAUGAACCUACGAGUUACCAUGUCCAGCGAGGUUAAGGGGUUCAGCCCCGUAUCCGUAGUGAAAGCGAGCCUAAAUAGGGCGUAUAGUUGGAUGGGGUAGACGCGAAACCAAGUGAUCUACACUUGACCAGGUUGAAGUUCUGGUAACACAGAAUGGAGGACCGCACGGAUAAGCGUUGAAAAGCUUCCCGAUGAGUUGAGUGUAGGAGUGAAAGGCCAAUCAAACUUGGAGAUAGCUCGUACUCCCCGAAAGGCAUUUAGGUGCCGCGUGCGACGAUUUCCAUAAGAGGUAGAGCGACCGAUAGGUCAAGAGGGCUUCACCGCCUAUCGAGACCUGACGAACUCCGAAUGCUUAUGGACAGCAGUCGUGCAGUAAGGGGGCGGGUGCUAAGGUCCGUCCCCGAGAGGAGAAGAAUCCAGACCGCCGUCUAAGGUCCCGAAAUUCUGUCUAAGUUAGUCUAACGAAGUCUGGUCCCCGUGACAGCUAGGAUGUUGGCUUGGAAGCAGCCAUUCAUUCAAAGAGUGCGUAACAGCUCACUAGUCGAGGGUCCGGGCAUGGAUAAUAAUCGGGUAUAAGGCAGAUGCCGAAGGCGCGGGAUAGUAAUAAUAAAAGUAUCGGUAGGGGAGCAUACCAUGUGCGUAGAAUGGUGAAGAUAACUGAUCCUGGAGCGCAUGGUAAAGCAAAUGUAGGUAUAAGUAACGAUAAGAGGGGUGAGAUUCCCCUCCGCCAUAAGUCUAAGGUUUCCCGGGCAAUGCCAAUCAGCCCGGGGUAAGUCGGGUCCUAAGUCUCAGCCGAACGGCGAGGGCGAUGGCAGAAACGGUUAAUAUUCCGUUACUACCUUCAGGAGCGAUGUGGAGACGGAGCAGUGACACUGCCGCGGGGCGACGGAAGUCCCCGUUAAAGAGUGUAGGCGUAGAUUGGAGCAGGCAAAUCCACUCCAAGAGCCGACCUUAAUAGUACGACGUCCCCUUCGGGGGAAGUUGAUAGCGCAGGUAAACAUACUCCCGAGAAAAUCCGCUAAGCAUAUCCUGAAGGUACCCGUACCGCAAUCCGACACAGGUAGACGGGUAGAACAUACUAAGGCGUUGAGAGAUUCAUGGUUAAGGAACUAGGCAAAUUGACCCCGUAACUUCGGGAUAAGGGGUCCUCAUAGCAAUAUGAGGCGCAGAGAAUAGGUCCAGGCAACUGUUUAACAAAAACACAGGGCUG